rnacentral:rRNA from 1 species
UACGUAGGGGGCAAGCGUUGUCCGGAUUUAUUGGGCGUAAAGAGCGUGUAGGCGGCUGGGUAGGUCCGUUGUGAAAACUCGAGGCUCAACCUCGAGACGCCGAUGGAAACCCUCCAGCUAGAGUCCGGAAGAGGAGAGUGGAAUUCCUGGUGUAGCGGUGAAAUGCGCAGAUAUCAGGAAGAACACCCGUGGCUAAGGCGGCUCUCUAGUACGGUACUGACGCUGAGACGCGAAAAGCGUGGGGGAGCGAACAGG